rnacentral:misc_RNA from 1 species
GGAUUGCCUCCAGGACCGACAUGUUACCCCAUCAUUGGGAAUGUAGGACUCGUCAAGCCGUCAGAAGCUGUACAAGCUCACAGAAAUCUCAGAAAGAAAUAUGGUGACAUCUAUACGAUAAUGACGUUCCACAAACCGAUGAUUGCAGUUCAUGGUUAUGACAAUAUUCGAGAAUUACUUGUCAAACAUGGAGACAUAUUUUCAGACAGACCAUUAACGAUAAUAAAUGGAGUUUUCAACAAAGGCAAAGGUUUGGUGUGGUCAUCUGGUCCACUUUGGAAAGAACAGAGAACUUUUGCACUUACAACAAUGAGAAAAUUCGGAUUUGGAAAACGCUGUCUUCAAGAUCAAAUCAUGGAGGAGGUAGAUUGUUUCAUGGAAGAACUAGAGAAAUAUGAAAACAAACCUUUUGAUAUUCAAAACAUUUUAAAUACAUCUGUGUCUAACGUCAUUUGUUCCCUGUUGUUUGGAAAAAGGUUUGAAUAUGAGGAUACAAAAUUUAAACGUUUGGUUGUUUUGCUGAACAAACUGUUUGCCACUGGAAAUGCGUCUUCACCUGCGUUUAUUUUUCCUGUCCUUCGUCAUUUACCGAUGUCAAGAUAUACCACAGUGCAGAAUAUAUUUGCUGAUAUAGAUGGAUUCACAAGUGAAAUAAUUGCAGAGCAUAGAAGAAAUUUUGACGGAAACAACAUAAAUGAUUUUAUAGAUGGUUUUCUUUUAGAACAAAAUGAGGCAGGAGAAAAUUCAACAUUUACAGAUGAGCAGCUCAAAAUCAGUGUACGAGAAUUCUUUGCCGCUGGAACCGAAACCACAUCAACAACAAUAAGAUGGUCUCUCCUUUUCUUACUUCAUCAUCCUGAGUGGCAACAAAAACUCCGAGAUAUUAUUGAUGCCGUUAUCGGUCAGAGUCAACCUAAGAUGGAACACAAAGAACAACUACCACUGGUUGAAGCAUUCAUUUUGGAAGUCCAACGUCAUGCAAAUCUUGUGCCACUUGGCCUUCCCCAUGCUCCAAAGGAAGACUUUCAUUAUAAAGGAUACCACCUUCCAAAAGGAACCUUUAUGUUCUUUGCAUUAGAUUCCGUGAUGACAGAUCCUGAAAUCUUUCCAGAGCCUACCAAAUUCAAACCAGAGCGAUUUUUGGACAACGAUGGAAAAUGCAAUGGGGAGCAGAAAGAAAGGCUUAUUCCUUUUUCGACAGGACGAAGAUUAUGUUUAGGAGAUUCGCUCGCCAAAAUGGAACUUUUUCUAUUCUUGACCAGAUUGCUACAAAAGUUUGAGAUAAAACCAGAGAAAUCCGAAUGUCUGCCAUCAUUAGAGGGGAAGUUGGGGAUAACCAACAUGCCAGCACCCUUUGACAUUGUAUUGAUAAAACGUUGAAAAUAAAAAAAAACACCAAGAAUU